GAGUUUGAUCCUGGCUCAGGAUGAACGCUGGCGGUAUGCUUAACACAUGCAAGUCGAACGAAAGUUUUUAACUUUAGUGGCGAACGGGUGCGUAAUACGUGAGAAUCUGCCCUUAGGAGAAGAAUAACUGCUGGAAACGGCAGCUAAAUCUUCAUAUGCCGAGAGGUGAAAUAGUUUCAGCUGCCUAAGGAUGAGCUCACGCCUGAUUAGCUAGUUGGUAAGGUAAUGGCUUACCAAGGCCACGAUCAGUAGCUGGUUUGAGAGAACGAUCAGCCACACUGGGACUGAGACACGGCCCAGACUCCUCCGGGAGGCAGCAGUGAGGAAUUUUCCGCAAUGGGCGAAAGCCUGACGGAGCAAUACCGCGUGAGGGAUGAAGGAUUUUGGUCUGUAAACCUCUUUUCUCAAGAAAGAAGUUCUGACGGUACUUGAGGAAUAAGCAUCGGCUAACUCCGUGCCAGCAGCCGCGGUAAUACGGGGGAUGCAAGCGUUAUCCGGAAUCAUUGGGCGUAAAGCGCCUGUAGGUUGUUUACUAAGUCUGUUGUUAAAGACUAGGGCUUAACCCUAGAAAAGCAAUGGAAACUUGUAGACUAGAGUAUGGCAGGGGUAGAGGGAAUUUCUAGUGUAGCGGUGAAAUGCGUAGAUAUUAGAAAGAACACCGGUGGCGAAAGCGCUCUANUGGACCAUUACUGACACUCAGAGGCGAAAGCUAGGGUAGCAAAAGGGAUUAGAUACCCCUGUAGUCCUAGCCGUAAACGAUGGAUACUAGAUGUUGUGUAUAACAGUAUCGUAGCUAACGCGUUAAGUAUCCC
rnacentral:rRNA from 1 species